rnacentral:rRNA from 1 species
GAUGAACGCUGGCGGCGUGCCUAAUACAUGCAAGUCGAGCGAACGGACGAGAAGCUUGCUUCUCUGAUGUUAGCGGCGGACGGGUGAGUAACACGUGGAUAACCUACCUAUAAGACUGGGAUAACUUCGGGAAACCGGAGCUAAUACCGGAUGAUAUUUUGAACCGCAUGGUUCAAAAGUGAAAGACGGUCUUGCUGGCACGUAUAGAUGGAUCCGCGCUGCAUUAGCUAGUUGGGAAGGUAACGGCUUACCAAGGCAACGAUGCAUAGCCGACCUGAGAGGGUGAUAGCCCACCCUGGAACGGAGACGCGCUCCAGGCUCCUACGGGAGGCAGCAGUAGGGAAUCUUCCGCAAUGGGCGAGAGCCUUACGGAGCAGCGCCGCGUGAGUGAUGACGGUCUUCGGAUCGUAAAGCUCUGUUAUUGGGGGAGAACCUAUUUGUAAGUAACCGUGCACAUCUUGACGGUACCUAAUCAGAAAGCCCCGGCUAACUACGUG